GUUUAUUUAUAUGAUAUAAAUGUUUCGUUUCUAUUUGUAUUUUUAAUGUGGAAUGCUAAAAUUUUGAAGUUAUGUAAUGGUCCAUUUCACCCAUUUUUCUUUUUGCAAAGGUAUUGUAAUAAAUGCUGGGGUGGGGAUUUGAACCCAGGACCUCUUAACAUACAGGUGCCAGUUGAGCUAAGCUCAUGUUGGCCCAUUUCACCCAUUUUGUAAUUUAAUUUGUACAACUCAUUUCUUCUUUGUGGUGUCUAAGUCAAAAACCUUUUUCGUAAUGAUGGCUUAGCUUUGAACCUCCAUGUUUUAACGCUUUCCUUCACUAUAUGUUGUGAGGGACCCUUAUCGUUCCCCUAUGCCCAAGUGAAUUUUGUUAUAGUAUUAUAUUCCUGAAGUAUGAAGAAACCAUUUAGAUGCUCUCUUCUCUCUCCACCCAGCUUGUCACCUCUAGCCUUCAAAAACUCUGAUUUUGUCUUGUCUCACUGAUGUUUGUGGCCUCCAGUCCCAAAGAGCUUUGUCAGAUAAUUAUAGUUAAGUUGGAAUGUUCUAUUUGGGUGAUCCAACGAACAUUAUUCAUUGGAACAUUAGAGGUUUGGAAGAUAGCUCUAAAAGAGUUAGUUGAAGUGUUUUCUGCAUAUUUGUUCUGAGUGGAUUCGUGUUAAAGUAACCUAAAAAUCCUCUUUCAAUAGAAAAUUGAUCAAAUUAUUAUGGAGUUCAAGAGAUUUAAGUUGGAUUCGUGUCAGGUGGUUUGUUAAUUUGUGAGAUGAAAGCAAAGUGAAGGUUGUUGAGGUUUAUUUGGAGGAUAUUCUCUCUUUGUAUCUUUUCUACUAAAUAAAGUUUGUUGGAUUUCAAACAUUUACGAACCAAAUGAUUAUGAAUGAAAGUGUCUUUGGAGUGAAUUACGUUCUUUCAUUCUUAUUGCAAGGAACCAUAGUGUGCAGGCGGAGAUUUCAAAAUAAUCAGAUGGGUUCAUUAGUGAUUUCCUAUCUGUAGACAAACAAGUUUAUGAGGCAGUUUAAUAAAAUUAUUGAAGAACUAGGCUUUGUGGAAAUCUCUUUGUCCAGUGGAAAAUUCACAUGGUUAAGAGAAGGUAGUUUUGUAUGGGGGGCUUCACCUUUCUAAAGUUCAUGGAUUAUGGGGGAAUAGAUCCUAUGGCGGGGCAGGUUUUGUUAUUUCUUCUGAACUCUGAAAUCUGAAAACAUCUACCAAGGGGAAGAACUUAUUUUCUGAAAUUACAUAUUUUGCUGCCAAAUAAGAAUUGGGGCUACUGACUGGUAAAGAAUGGUGUCUUAGGUAUUGAAAGGCAAGUUAUUGGAUCUCUACAUGAUUGAAGAAAGAAGUUUGAUUCAGAAAUGUCUGCAACUCUGCAUGGAGAGGAUGUGAUUAUGAAUACAGCUUCGUUCAUUGUUUUUUGGCAGCUAAAAAAGGCUUCUUAUUUCUGAAUUAUGCUCCGUUGGUGGAAGGUGGUUUCAAGUCCAGCAAAUGAGGCUCUAAUUGUUGCUUUCUCUCUCGAUGAAAUUUUGCAUGAUAUGAAAAUCUUGGGCAAGAAAAGUCUCUUGAGUCUUGGGCUGCAGUAAUUAUGGAUAUUCACAGGCAUUUUCAAUUUGAAUGACACACAACUGGAAGGUAUGGUUCAAGCCUCAGAAGCCCAUGGACCAGUAUUUCUAAGAAUUGGAAAUGCUACGAUUUCUUUGCCUCCUUUAAAUUGGCAAAUGGAAAUCCUAUUUUUGUCUAAAAUUCCAUUUUUCCUCACUUAUUUGCUAUCUCUACAUCUCCGAACGGCUCAGUUUUGGACCUAUGGGACAAUCAACAUCUCUCAUGGUUUUUAGUUUUUUGAAGCCUUUUGAAAGAAGAUGAAAUUAUUGCUUUGCAAUCUUUGUUGGGUUGGGUAUUCUGAUAACAAAAAUAUUGGCUCUAUUGAAGACUCAAGGCAGUGGCCUUUUACAUUCAUCUAGUUUGUGCUUGAUGAAAUUCUUAUCAAGAUAGUGUUUUUUUUUUCUUUGCAAAAGGAUUUAUUUGAGACCAUUUGGAAGUGUUAUAGUGCCAAACAUUUAAAUGUGCGACUGUGGAUCAGUGUAAAUGGUAGUUAUAUCUUAAGUCAUUGGCAUGCCCUCUUUGUCAUGCAGAUGGAGAUUAUCUUUCUCAUAUUUUCUUAGCUGCUCUUAUUGUCAAAGUGUUGGUUCAAGCUCCUCUCUGAUUCCAAAAUCGAGUUGGUAUUCUCAUGUGUCUUAAGUGAAAAAGUUUUCCAGCUGAUCGUUGGCUAAAAAACAAUUUUAUUAUGGAUUAAUGUGGUAUCCUUGGGAAGAAGAAAUAACAAGAUUUUCGAAGAUAAGUUCGGUUCUUUUGAUUGGACCUUUGUUCAACACAUGACCUCUUGGUGGUGUACAAACUACACCAAGUUAUUUUGUAACUACACUUUUGAUUAACUUUAACAAUUGGAAGGCUCUCUCCUUCGUUGGCUC